AUUAACCAAUAAAAAAUUUAAGCACGUGCUCAGGUCACCAAGCAAAGAGGGACACCAACUGUCACGGACGAAUAUAAUUUGAUGCGACAUAACAAACCCAAACGCGAGAUGCGGAAAAUACAACGUAUAGAAAAUAGGGAGGUGCCAGACUUGGAAAAAAUGAAGACGACGGCUAUUGCAGUUUCCUUCAUAUUACUGAUUUUUCUGCAACAAUUUUUCUGUGAUGCAAAGAAAAAUUCGCGAAAAUACACAGCGAAGAUUUCCAGAGCAUGCGGUGAAAAAUACUGUCCACGUCUAAUCAGCGGCUGGGGAUGCAGCUACUUCAAGAAAGAAAGAAAACGUUGUCGAAUAUGCAUCCGGACGAAAUUAUGCUAUUGGUCCAGGAAUCCAUACCUACCGUUUAUUUAUAAGCUCCGAUUUGAAGGUGUACAGAAUUGAAAACCUUACAGAAGACAUGCAUUUGUAAUUUUGUGUGACAAUUUCACUAGAGAAAACUGAAAAUUUUCAACAGAUCAAAAUUACACUUUAUUAGUUAUAAGCCAUAGGAAAUUACUUUCAUAUCGAGUGUAUAUCAACCUUGAAUAUGUUGACAUUUUCUCUUCUUAUAUGGUAAAACAUGCCGGAAUUAAUCUGAAUAUGCUCGGAAUAAAACUUCUUGUAAAGUUCCUGUUACCAGAUUGUGAAUGAAAACAGCUUUCUGAUAACAACAUAACAACUGCUAUUAACAACUUUGAGACCUCCAGAAAUAUGUGCACCUAGAUGGCGCACAACCUCAACCCAAUAUGUGUUAGGGUUCAGGUUUUGCGCCACCUUGGUGAACAUACUUCGGGAGCGCCCAAUAUUGUGUUAAUCCAAGUAAAAAAUAUUCAAAGCUAAGCUAAUGUUUUUCUUACAUUUAAUUUGUUUAAAAUAACCAAAUACUGAUGUGAUGUUUUUGUGCUACUAAUAAACAAGUCAAUCUAUCUCCAGUUUUCAGUAUUUGAGGAUGAAUGCCACCACAUUUUUCAAUCUACCCAUUGGAA